UUGGAGGGCAAGUCUGGUGCCAGCAGCCGCGGUAAUUCCAGCUCCAAUAGCGUAUAUUAAAGUUGUUGCAGUUAAAAAGCUCGUAGUUGAAUUUCGGGGUUAGUAGGUUGGUCAUGCCUCUGGUAUGUACUGGUCUCACUGAUUCCUCCUUCCUGAUGAAUCUUAAUGCCAUUAAUUUGGUGUUUUGGGGAAUUUGGACUGUUACUUUGAAAAAAUUAGAGUGUUUAAAGCAAGCUAACGCUUGAAUACAUUAGCAUGGAAUAAUGAAAUAGGACGUUCGAUCCUAUUUUGUUGGUUUCUAGGAUUGACGUAAUGAUUAAUAGGGAUAGUUGGGGGCAUUAGUAUUCAAUUGUCAGAGGUGAAAUUCUUGGAUUUAUUGAAGACUAACUACUGCGAAAGCAUUUGCCAAGGAUGUUUUCAUUAGUCAAGAACGAAAGUUAGGGGAUCGAAGACGAUCAGAUACCGUCGUAGUCUUAACCAUAAACUAUGCCGACUAGGGAUCGGAUGAUGUUAAUUUUUUAAUGACUCAUUCGGCGCCUUACGGGAAAC
rnacentral:rRNA from 1 species